rnacentral:rRNA from 1 species
AUUGAACGCUGGCGGCAGGCCUAACACAUGCAAGUCGAGCGGAGCGGCGGACGGGUGAGUAAUGCCUAGGAAUCUGCCUGGUAGUGGGGGAUAACGUCCGGAAACGGGCGCUAAUACCGCAUACUAUCAGAUGAGCCUAGGUCGGAUUAGCUAGGUGGUGGGGUAAAGGCCUACCAAGGCGACGAUCCGUAACUGGUCUGAGAGGAUGAUCAGUCACACUGGAAACGAGACACGGUCCAGAACCCCACGGGAGGGAGGAGUGGGGAAAAUUUGACAAUGGGCGAAAGCCGGAAUCAGCCCUGCCGCGUGGGGGAAGAAGGGUUUCGGAUUUGAAAGCCAUUUAAGUUGGGAGGCGUUACCAAAAGAAUAAGCACCGGCUAACUUCGUGCCAGCAGCCGCGGUAAUAC